rnacentral:rRNA from 1 species
CACCCGGUCCCAUUCCGAACCCGGUAG